GUCUCCUUUAAGAUUUCUUCUUAUUUUUAUAUGCCUGGUUGUGCUUUUCUUUUUAAUCAUCAUGCUUGGGCUUCCACAUACAUCAUGGAUCUGUCAUUUAUUGUCUUUCAUUAGUUUUAGUAAAUUCUUAGUUAUUGUCUCUUCACAUAUUUUCUAGGCCCUGUUAUUUCUCUUUAUUGCUUCCGGGACUCCAAUCAAACAUAUGCUACACUUUCAAUAAUGUCCUAUGUAUGGCUCUUGGAUCAACUUUUGGAUCGGAUCUUUCCACUAUUUACUUCUCCUUUUUAAAAUUAGUAUUGCCAUAUUUAUAUUGCACUUUGGGGCUAGUUUUCAUGAAGAAAGAUGAAACAAUGCAUGGGAUGUAAUGGGGCAUAACCCAAGUGUGCUGUGAAAGGGAACAAAUAAGAAGGAAUAUUGCUUGAGGUCGGCAUCUGAUGUGUUCAUUAUUCCUAGAUCUGUGAGGUAAGCUGACAGGUUGAAUCGUUUGCCUCAUGGAGUACCAAGUGAACCUUCCUAAGAUGGACAAGUAAAAGAGUA
rnacentral:lncRNA from 1 species